rnacentral:rRNA from 1 species
UACAGAGGGUGCGAGCGUUAAUCGGAAUUACUGGGCGUAAAGCGUGCGUAGACGGUUAUUUAAGUCGGGUGUGAAAGCCCCGGGCUCAACCUGGGAAUUGCAUUCGAGAUUGAAUAGCUAGGGUACCGUAGAGGGAAGCGGAAUUUCCGGUGUAGUGGUGAAAUGCGUAGAUAUCGGGAGGAACACCAGUGGCGAAGGCGACUACCUGGCCUGUUCUUGACGCUGAGGCGCGAAAGCUAGGGGAGCAAACGGG